rnacentral:lncRNA from 1 species
GGAAGGAACUCUCUGACCACUUUUCCUCUCUCGAGGAGGACCUCAAGCACAAAUCCGAAGCUCUGAAACGCAAGAUGCGCACGCUCGACACCGCCACCUCUGACUCUCUCCGCCUCCUUGACCGCCGCGAAACAUCCCUCGACGCCACUCUCCAGAUCGCCCUCCGCACGCUCGACACGCGCCGCACCGCCGCCAUAACCUCUUUCCUUGACGACCACGCGGACGAAGACGGCGGCGAGGUUGACGACGCCACCGGCCUCGUCCUCAAACUCA